ensembl:lncRNA
AUUCUCAUCCUUAAUGCUGUAAAAUAAAGAAAAAAAUAGAGAGUUAUAAAAAGCUUUAAUUUUCACUCUAAAUGACCAUUUCAUAGAUUGCAGGAAAGUUUGAAACAUACCUCAGAUGAUUUUAUCCAACAAUGUGAGCAUUGUUUUAGUAGCAUAAAAAGAUAGUAGAAAUAAUAAGCUAUGGUUAACUUAGGGAAAAGCAGGUUCAGAACUAGAAGGAACCUAUUUCUACAAAUAUUAAUAAAGCAAACAGCAUAAAUUGAGUAAAUACAGGACUAGUGCACAUUAAUACUAUUAGCCAUAGAUAAAUAGCUAUGGGUCAACAACUGUGUUUUGUGCAUCUGAGCUAUGUACUACUAAAGAGAAAAAAGCAUUGAUAUAAGCCCUAAUUCAUGAUGGGUGGGUUGUUUUUUAACUUAUCAAAUCUAGUUGUCGAAAGGGGCUUCAUCCUUAGGUAUAGAAUGGCAAGAACAAAUUUUUUAAAUAAUGAAACAAUGUGAACUAGUAAUUAGGAGCUGGAGUCAUUAUGAAAUGUCUUUGUCAAGAUAUAAGUACUUUCAAAUGGCAAAUUUAUCUUUUUGAGAAUAUUUCACUGUUAGUGAUGUAUUAGAUAUACAAGCCAUUUAAAAAAUAUAAGAUUUAAAAUUCAUAACACUGCUCUUAAUAGUUAAGACCUGAUUAUAGCUGCCUCAGUCAUGUCCCAAAAGUUGAGAGAUGCUUUCAAGGCACCAAUCAUUACAUUCAUGUGUAAUAUUGCCCAAGAACCAGGUAUUUAGCUGUUUGAAAAAUUUUGUUUAAUAAUAAAAAGCAAAAAGGAAAUCAUAUUCUCUCAUUUCAUAGUUAUAUAUUAGUUCUGUAUUGAAAAAUGAAGUGACCCUACUUCUAAGAAGCUCUUUUUCACAAAUACGGGAAAGUUUGGGAUCCAACACUAUAACGAGCCCAUGGUCAAUUUUGUUGUCGCUAUACUUAUAUGAAAUGUUGUCAUUAAAUGAAGCCAAAGAGCUUUAUUUGCCUGGGAACUUUAAGGGAAAGGAUUAUUUUCAGUGGCAGGAUCAAGAAUAUUUCCUUGACUUUAGGACCAGCUGAGUUACUUUUCCUUUGUAUUCUUCUCUGAUCUCUAUUUCCUCUCCCUAUGGCAAUCCAGACACAGUUUUGAUUGUUUUUAACUUGACAGAAGAGAGCUUGCUUCCUUACUUUCAGUAUCCCUUGGCUUCUAAUCGUUGCCACAGGUUGGCAAUUCUGGCACCAAUAGCUUGUGAAUCCCCUGGAGCUGAGGUUCCCUACCUAUUUAUUCUGAAAUGCCACUGACAUCUAUGAGAGGGGAGAACAGAGCUAGAAGUACAAAAGUAGGUAGGUGAGGAUUACCAAAGGGAGCCAGUUGUUCAGUUGGUGGGGAUAGUAAUAAAGUCUCAGUAAAGCGGUACAUGGCCGCACAUUGGUGGAUGUAUCUGGCAUUGAACCAGAUAUUUUGAACAUGACCCUGUUAUACUUACUUUAGCAAAUGGAUGUAACUUUUCCUAAAUUUUCUUGUCAUGUCUCAUCCUGUUCAAAGUUUUAACUAAAUCGGGUCUUUAGGAUCCCCGGGUUCCACUUUUCUCCAUCUUUCUUUCUCCUUCAUGCUCUUUCCAAGUUAAAAAUUAGAUAAGACUUUGAUAAUAAUAUUUGCACAAAUGAAAGAGACUUAUAGUUCUUAACUAUUACUGUGCCUACUAGGAAUGUUUAUAUUUAGUAGGGUACCUAUACCAUAAAUAAAGGAAUUGAAUUAAAUGGUGGAUUUCCAAGUAUCAAUAUGCAUUUUGGGGGAAGGGGGAUAGAGAGAAGCUUAAGCUACUUGGUGCUUGUGAAGUUAAAAUGCAUGGGUGGCUAUAAAUUCUAUGUAUAUGGAUGACCCUGAGGUCAAUAUGAUAUACUUAUUUUUAACACCCAUUUAAAAAUAUCAGUUCUGUAAUCCACACGCUGAAUUAGAAAACAAGAAUGUAAAACAGUAUUAUGAUAGAAAGCAAGGAAUUUGGAGGGUUCUGUUUAUAAGAUGCUUUGAUUGAUAGAACAUAACUUUGUAUUGUUACUUUGUCUGGAAAAGUCUUCCUGUUUUCAUUAUUUUAGCUCCGCGGCAUGAUUAGUGUUGUCUGGAAACAUUAGUCACUUCCUAUAUUUUUCUCUGUGGUAAAUGUGUUGACACGAGUAGGGGAGAAGGAAUAAGGGUGUUCAGGAGGAGCUGGCUAACAUCCAAGUUAAAAAAUAGGAGGUUUUAUAGUGGGUAAUGCCACUGCUCUUGACCAUAAAGAGCGUGUUCCUCUUUUCUAAGUUUUCUGUGUUAUUCUUGAAAAAAUGGAUUUAAGAUGCAAAAUGA